rnacentral:rRNA from 1 species
AACGAACGCCGGCGGCAGGCCUAACACAUGCAAGUCGAACGCCGUAGCAAUACGGAGUGGCAGACGGGUGAGUAACGCGUGGGAACAUACCCCUCGGUUCGGAAUAACUCAGGGAAACUUGAGCUAAUACCGGAUACGUCCAAGGUUUUAAUCGACCUUGGAGAAAGAUUUAUCGCCGGAGGAUUGGCCCGCGUCUGAUUAGCUUGUUGGUGAGGUAAUGGCUCACCAAGGCGACGAUCAGUAGCUGGUCUGAGAGGAUGAUCAGCCACAUUGGGACUGAGACACGGCCCAAACUCCUACGGGAGGCAGCAGUGGGGAAUAUUGGACAAUGGGCGUAAGCCUGAUCCAGCCAUGCCGCGUGAGUGAUGAAGGCCUUAGGGUUGUAAAGCUCUUUUACCCGGGAAGAUAAUGACGGUACCGGGAGAAUAAG